rnacentral:rRNA from 1 species
AACGAACGCUGGCGGCGCGCCUAACACAUGCAAGUCGAACGAGAAGGCGUAGCAAUACGCUUGUAGAGUGGCGAACGGGUGAGUAAUACGUGGGUGACCUACCCUCGAGUGGGGAAUAACCCGCCGAAAGGCGGGCUAAUGCCGCGUACGCUUCCGUCCUCACGGGGACGGAAGGAAGGCUGUACCGUGGGUACGGCGCUCAAGGAUGGGCUCACGUCCUAUCAGCUUGUUGGUAGGGUAACGGCCUACCAAGGCUACGACGGGUAGCUGGUCUGAGAGGACGAUCAGCCACACUGGUCACUGCGACACGGGCCAGACUCCUACGGGAGGCAGCAGUGAGGAAUAUUGCGCAAUGGGCG